rnacentral:rRNA from 1 species
GAUGAACGCUGGCGGCGUGCCUAAUACAUGCAAGUCGAGCGAACAGACGAGGAGCUUGCUCCUCUGACGUUAACGGCGGAAGGGUCAGUAACACGUGGUUAACCUACCUAUAAGACUAGGCUAACUUAGGGGAACCGGUGCUAAUACCGGAUAAUCUAUUCAACGGCAUUGUUCAAUAGUGUUAUCGGGUUUUGCUGUCACUGAUACAUGGAUCCGCGCUGCAUUAGCUAGUUGGUAAGGUAACGGCUUACCAAGGCAGCGAUGCGUAGCCGACCUGAGAGGGUGACCGGCCACACUGGAACUGAGGCGCGGGCCAGACUCCGACGGGAGGCAGCAGUAGGGAAUCUUCCGCAAUGGGCGGAAGCGUGACGGAGCAACGCCGCGUGAGUGAUGAAGGUCUUCGGAUCGUAAAACUCUGUUAUUAGGGAAGAACAAAUGUGUAAGUAACUAUGCGCGUCUUGACGGUACCUAAACAGAAAGCCACGGCUAACUACGUG